ACCGGAUUAGAUACCCUGGUAGUCCACGCCGUAAACGAUGUCGACUUGGAGGCUGUUCCCUUGAGGAGUGGCUUCCGGAGCUAACGCGUUAAGUCGACCGCCUGGGGAGUACGGCCGCAAGGUUAAAACUCAAAUGAAUUGACGGGGGCCCGCACAAGCGGUGGAGCAUGUGGUUUAAUUCGAUGCAACGCGAAGAACCUUACCUACUCUUGACAUCCACGGAAUUUGGCAGAGAUGCCUUAGUGCCUUCGGGAACCGUGAGACAGGUGCUGCAUGGCUGUCGUCAGCUCGUGUUGUGAAAUGUUGGGUUAAGUCCCGCAACGAGCGCAACCCUUAUCCUUUGUUGCCAGCGAUUCGGUCGGGAACUCAAAGGAGACUGCCGGUGAUAAACCGGAGGAAGGUGGGGAUGACGUCAAGUCAUCAUGGCCCUUACGAGUAGGGCUACACACGUGCUACAAUGGCGCAUACAAAGAGAAGCGACCUCGCGAGAGCAAGCGGACCUCAUAAAGUGCGUCGUAGUCCGGAUCGGAGUCUGCAACUCGACUCCGUGAAGUCGGAAUCGCUAGUAAUCGUGGAUCAGAAUGCCACGGUGAAUACGUUCCCGGGCCUUGUACACACCGCCCGUCACACCAUGGGAGUGGGUUGCAAAAGAAGUAGGUAGCUUAACCUUCGGGAGGGCGCUUACCACUUUGUGAUUCAUGACUGGGGUGAAGUCGUAACAAGGUAC
rnacentral:rRNA from 1 species